UACGUAGGGAGCAAGCGUUGUCCGGAAUCAUUGGGCGUAAAGCGCGCGUAGGUGGCCACAUAAGUCCGUUGUGAAAGUCAAAGGCUCAACCUUUGAAAGCCGAUGGAUACUGUGUGGCUAGAGUACGGAAGAGGCGAGUGGAAUUCCUGGUGUAGCGGUGGAAUGCGCAGAUAUCAGGAGGAACACCAGUAGCGGAAGGCAGCUCGCUGGGACGUUACUGACGCUGAGGCGCGAAAGCGUGGGGAGCAAACAGG
rnacentral:rRNA from 1 species